UGGGGAAUUUUGCACAAUGGGGGAAACCCUGAUGCAGCGACGCCGCGUGAUUUAGAAGGCCUUCGGGUUGUAAAGAUCUUUUUUACGGGAUGAAAAUGACAGUACCGUAAGAAUAAGGUCCGGCUAAAUACGUGCCAGCAGCCGCGGUAAUACGUAUGGACCGAGCGUUGUCCGGAAUCAUUGGGCGUAAAGGGUACGUAGGCGGCCUAAUAAGUUAGAAGUGAAAGAAUAUAGCUCAACUAUAUAAAGCUUUUAAAACUGUUAGGCUUGAGAGAUGAAAGGGAAAGUGGAAUUCCUAGUGUAGCGGUGAAAUGCGCAGAUAUUAGGAAGAAUACCGGUGGCGAAGGCGACUUUCUGGUCAUCAUCUGACGCUGAGGUACGAAAGUGUGGGUAGCAAACAGG
rnacentral:rRNA from 1 species